AACGAACGCUGGCGGCAGGCCUAACACAUGCAAGUCGAGCGCGCCCUUCGGGGUGAGCGGCGGACGGGUUAGUAACGCGUGGGAACAUACCCUUUGGUACGGAAUAGCCUCUGGAAACGGAGAGUAAUACCGUAUGAGCCCUUCGGGGGAAAGAUUUAUCGGAGAAGGAUCGGCCCGCGUUAGAUUAGAUAGUUGGUGGGGUAAUGGCCUACCAAGUCUACGAUCUAUAGCUGGUUUUAGAGGAUGAUCAGCAACACUGGGACUGAGACACGGCCCAGACUCCUACGGGAGGCAGCAGUGGGGAAUCUUAGACAAUGGGGGCAACCCUGAUCUAGCCAUGCCGCGUGAGUGACGAAGGCCCUAGGGUCGUAAAGCUCUUUCGCCAGGGAUGAUAAUGACAGUACCUGGUAAAG
rnacentral:rRNA from 1 species